GGAGUAGCUCUGGGAAUUGUAAGAAAAAAGAAUUGUAUUUUCCGAGGAAAAUGCUUACGAUUCAUUAAUAAUCAAAUGAGAUUUUUUAGUUCGAAAAAUAUUUGAAGUUUCAAUCAAAAUAAUAACUGCAUUUCUACAUAACAAUUGACAUGUGAAGAACUAUUAAAAUCUUGGUUAUCUUAUGACAUAAGUGCCGAAGGGUUAGGAUGUAUCAUGUCGUUUGGCAAGAUUAUGUGCAAAAUUAUUCAGUCAAUCCCCUCCUGGGAGAUGACGAAAUACUACGGUCGAGUCUGCCUCUUCCAACUGAACUGCAUAAAAUAUCGGAUCCAGACGAGUGAGGCUUGGUUCCUCCUCAAAAACAAAUUUAUCCCCCACAAAAUAAAAUAUGAGGAGAAGCCCGAGAAAAAACCCAGUCCUGAUACCCAGAAAAUUCGCCAAAAAGUCUCGAAAAUCAAAACCUCCAAGGACAAGAAGAAAUAGAAAAAUUAGGGUGAGACUGUGUGAGGUCCUCUCCACCAAAGAGACUUUCGUAGAUAGGCACCAAUUUGCCUUUGUGUUGGCGUUUGGAGCCGG